rnacentral:lncRNA from 1 species
ACCUGAAACUGUAUCAGUUGAGCUGAUACUUGAAAGCUGAGAAGGAGCCAGGGAUGGGAAGGGCUCCAUGAAGAGCAUUCCAGCCAAUGAGUAGCGGUACAGAAAGAAGACUCAGAGGCAGCCAAGUCUAGAGAGGGCUAGUGAGGAGACUGAUGAGGUAGAAACGGCAGGCUAGGAAUAGAUCAUGCAGGACCUUGUAGGCCAAGUAAGAAGUCGGUAUUUUUUCCAGAUGCAGUAGCAAACUUUUGAGGCAUUUGAAACGGGAAAUGAUACAAUUCAAUGCACAUUUUAAAAGGUCCCAGAGAAUAGCAUACUUCAACUAUGUUGUCUGUUUUCAUUAAUUGGUCUGUGACUUGUAGUUGAGUGGUUCAAUUAGAAGAUGUUUAAUAUCCUUUCAAAAUCCAAGGUGUAAAAACUUUAUGCCCAUAAUAGUUGCAGUGAGCAAAUGGAUUCCAUGUGGUCAUGUAACAAGCUAGUCUAAUCAAUGUGCCACAUAACCACUGUUUACAGGUAUUAACAUGACUGCUACUACUAAAGUUUUUGCAUUAGUCAUAAAAAUGUUUCUGAAGGCAAUAGGUUUUGACAGGGUGAAAGAGUAGGAAAUCACAGUUCCAGAUUUUUGAAACAACUUAUAAAACUGAAAGAAUUUUGGUUUGGCUGCCAUGCGUGGGUGUAGGCAAUGAGCCCAGGACAAGUCAGACCAGAUUGCUGGCCACAUGAACUGGAGCUGAUGUUGAUCCCUAGAGGAUGGAAUGGGGGCAGAAAAUGUGCUCCGGGAGGCCUGCAGAGGUGACAGUAACUAAAGAGAGUAAGGAGGAUGAGAGACAAAAUCAGGGAAAUCUUACCACCCACAAGUCUUUAUAGUAGGAUCUGGACUCACUCCAAAUGGGAGUGGGAACAAUGAAUCCAAAGAGAAUCCACUGUGAAACCUUCCAAGGAGGGUCCUGGUCCUGGCUGCAGAUGAUCAGAUCCCUGGCUUGCCCGCCUUGGUCAUUGGGCAUGUGGUGUAUGCGUAUCGAGAAGGCUUACUGACAAAGAACUGGGCACAUACGUUACAAAUCAACGGGUGGAAAGCCUCAAAAUGAGCUUCAGAGCCCAAAGGAAGGCUUUGACAUUAACCCACAACCUUUGGAUUCAAGUAAUUUCAAAAGCAGCCCUGCAGAUCAGGUCUGUUUUUUUUUCCACCGACCACUUGUAUCUCAAACAUUUUCCUACUUGGCACAACUACCUUGGCUCCCUCUGAAACGGCUGAUGAGGAGGCUGGAAUGUGUGUGAAGGAGUAGAAGGAACAGAAGACAGAUGAAAGCACAGUGAGCCAUUUUGGCUUCUGUAAAAGCGCUCCUUGCUUUCUGCCAUGUGUACACAAAAUUCCAUUGAGCACUAAGCGGGGAUCAUCUAUCAAAAGUCUUAAAAUUUUUAAAUACCAAAAGUUUUGUUUAGAGGUCAAGUUUCAGAGUUUUGACUGUAUUUGGAGUGUUUGCAUUGGGAAGAAAUGCCAGGGAAAGGCCAUACAAUAUGCAAAGUUAGCCUUAAAGAUGAGCAGAAAGCAGAGGACAAACCAUCUACCCUCCAGAAGAGGAACUGUUAAACAAAGAGGCGGUCAGGCUGCCUCUUCAUUGUAACAUUCGGCUUGAUCCUGGAGUUCCCGUUGUGGCUCAGUGGGUUAAGAACCAGACUAAUAUCAAUGAGGUUUCAGGUUCAAUCCCUGGCCUCCCGCAGUAGGUUAAGGAUCCGGUGUUGCCUUGAACUGCGGUGUAGGUCACAGACAUGGCUUGGAUAUGUUGUUGCUGUGGCUACGGUGUAAGCCAGCAGCUGCAACUCCAAUUCGACCCCUGUCCUGGGAACUUCCAUAUGCUGCAGGUGUGGCGG